CAGCCGCCGCGGUAAUACCGGCGGCCCGAGUGGCGGUCACUAUUAUUGGGCUUAAAGCGUCCGUAGCCGGGUUGGGAAGUCCUCCGGGAAAUCUGGCCGCUUAACGGUCGGAAUGCCGGAGGAUACUCCCAGCCUAGGGAGCGGGGGAGGCCGAGGGGAUUCCCGGAGUAGGGGUGAAAUCCUAUAAUCCCGGGAGGACCACCUGUGGCGAAGGCGCUCGGCUGGAACGCGUCCGACGGUGAGGGACGAAGGCCAGGGGAGCAAACCGGAUUAGAUACCCGGGUAGUCCUGGCUGUAAACGAUGCGGACUUUGUGUCGGACAAGCUAUGAGCUUGUCCGGUGCCGGAGGGAAACCGUUAAGUCCGCCGCCUGGGGAGUACGGCCGCAAGGCUGAAACUUAAAGGAAUUGGCGGG
rnacentral:rRNA from 1 species